GUUUUACAAUUGGUUAUUCCAAUACAUUCAAAUAAAUCAAAGGUUGUUUGUAAAAAAAAGCAUAGACUUGGGAAGUUUUACAACUCCUUCUGUCUACAAAGUGUGCACAGGUGGAUAUUGGGAUUUGUUAAAAGAGUGCACUUGCAGAGCCAGCACAUCUUUAUUAAAAUCAAUAAUGAUCCUUCCGCAGGUUCACCUACGGAAA
rnacentral:misc_RNA from 1 species